rnacentral:rRNA from 1 species
UACGAGGGGAGCAAGCGUUGCUCGGAUUUACUGGGCGUAAAGGGCGCGUAGGCGGCGUGACUAGUCACUUGUGAAAUCUCCGGGCUUAACUCGGAACGGUCAAGUGAUACUGUCGUGCUAGAGUACAGAAGGGGCAACUGGAAUUCUCGGUGUAGCGGUGAAAUGCGUAGAUAUCGAGAGGAACACCUGCGGCGAAGGCGGGUUGCUGGGCUGAUACUGACGCUGAUGCGCGAAAGCCAGGGGAGCGAACGGG